CAGCCCUGCACAACGAUCUGGACCUGCUUCCCCCAGAGCAUUCAAAAAUGUGAUACAAGCAGCACAUCUGCGCUCUGGAGUGAAUGUUUUUAUCACAUAAACAUGGUCACAGCCAUGCAAACAGGGUUUCUGAUUUAUAGACCUGGAAGAGAAUGACUUCUGCUACACCCUUUCAAGUGUCAGAUCCCGAGAACAAAAUAAAGAGAAGAAAAAGAAAAACUGCUUGCAAUUGCAUUAACCAUGGGAAAUUUAAUUAAUGCAUAACUCAACCUGGCUGACUUGCAGUACUUGAAAAAACAAUCUAGGCCAGCAAAUUAGAGAUCUGUUGAUACGGUCAAUAAAUACAGAUCCGCAAAUCCCAAACAUAUGGCAGUCAACCCAUUUUUAAUAAAUGAUUAAUAGUCUUACCAAACCUCACAAACCAUUGGUCAUGUUAUUGUGUGUGACAGACACACGCCUUUAUACGUGUCAACAAAAGCUGCGUUUCAAUUGUAGUGUUCAUGUAUCAACUACAAACAUUUCUACCUAAAAUAGCCCACCAGUACUUGUAUGCAAUACAAAUUUACAUUAUCUAAAUUAAUUUGUGCCAGAAAGUCCAAUAAAAUUAAAGCACGAAUAUUUUAAAUAAAACUUACCAUAGAACAAAGCAUGAAGUGUUCAAAAGUACACUCAUCUAAACUACGUGGUCUAAUUAUAAUUUUGCUCAGCCAUCUGCACAGCCUAACCCAUAAAUACAGCUAUUACAUGGGUCAAUGUCCUUUUACAACACUUGUGAAAUAAAAUGAGCCAUACCCAGACGAUGGAAUCCAAAGGUGAAACGUUUGUUUGGAGAUUUCGAUGACAGACA